rnacentral:rRNA from 1 species
AUUGAACGCUGGCGGCAGGCCUAACACAUGCAAGUCGAGCGGGGUUUUCGGACCUAGCGGCGGACGGGUGAGUAAUGCGUAGGAAGCUACCCGAUAGAGGGGGAUACCAGUUGGAAACGACUGUUAAUACCGCAUAAUGUCUACGGACCAAAGUGUGGGACCUUCGGGCCACAUGCUAUCGGAUGCGCCUACGUGGGAUUAGCUAGUUGGUGAGGUAAUGGCUCACCAAGGCGACGAUCUCUAGCUGGUUUGAGAGGAUGAUCAGCCACACUGGAACUGAGACACGGUCCAGACUCCUACGGGAGGCAGCAGUGGGGAAUAUUGGACAAUGGGCGCAAGCCUGAUCCAGCCAUGCCGCGUGUGUGAAGAAGGCCUCGGUUGUAA